AGUGAACGCUGGCGGUAGGCCUAACACAUGCAAGUCGAACGGCAGCACAGUAAGAGCUUGCUCUUACGGGUGGCGAGUGGCGGAGGGGUGAGGAAUACAUCGGAAUCUACUUUUUCGUGGGGGAUAACGUAGGGAAACUUACGCUAAUACCGCAUACGACCUACGGGUGAAAGCAGGGGAUCUUCGGACCUUGCGCGAUUGAAUGAGCCGAUGUCGGAUUAGCUAGUUGGCGGGGUAAAGGCCCACCAAGGCGACGAUCCGUAGCUGGUCUGAGAGGAUGAUCAGCCACACUGGAACUGAGACACGGUCCAGACUCCUACGGGAGGCAGCAGUGGGGAAUAUUGGACAAUGGGCGCAAGCCUGAUCCAGCCAUACCGCGUGGGUGAAGAAGGCCUUCGGGUUGUAAAGCCCUUUUGUUGGGAAAGAAAAGCGGCAGGUUAAUACCCCGCUGUUCUGACGGUACCCAAAGAAUAAGCACCGGCUAACUUCGUG
rnacentral:rRNA from 1 species